UAUUAAUUAUAUGUUUCGUCAAAUCUCAUGACUAAUCCCCCCUUACUCCUCUAUAAAUAGUUCCCCCACUCCGCCCCAACUCUCCACUACUGCAAACCCUAAACUCCAUCGCAACACCGCGUCCCAAAACCCUAAUCGCCCUUCUCUCGAUCUCGACCUUGACCUCUACCUCUCCUCCAUGGCUUCGGUGCGCUUUGCCAUCCUCUCCUCCAUGGCGAUCGGGUUUCUCCUCCUCGCGGCAAGCGCCUCCGCCCAGGCGCCGGGCGCCGCGCCCCGAUCGGCCCCGAUCCCCGCUCCAAAGGUGGCCCCGAUCCCUCCCCCCAGAGCGUCCCCGACGCCGGCCCCGGCACCGUCCGCGGCGACCCCGACCCCGACCCCGACCCCGGCCCCGGUCCCGUCCCCAGCGUCGAAGCCCCCGACCUCGGCUCCGGCCCCCUCCGUCCCCUCNUCCCACCCCCGCCCCCGGCGCCGCGCCCGGAGCCGCCCCGCCUUCCAACAUCGCCUCUCCGCCGUCGGAGGGAGGCAGCAGCGCCGCCUCCGUGCCCGCCGCAGCCGCAAGCUGGGCCACCGUCGUCGCGGUGAUCGCCGCCGCAGCCGCUUUCUAGAUCUACCUGAGAUAGUUUUAUUCUUUCAUUUAGGACUACUCUGUAGUAGCGAAUUGUUUGGAUUUGUUCUUUUUACACUAGUUUAUUCAUUACCAUUGUUUAUACUAUUAUUUUUUUGUUCCCCCUACCCCUUUUUGUGUAUUAGUGGUUUAUGAUUACUAUAGUUAUUCUUUAUUGGUAUUACUAUUGGCGUUAGAUUGUGGUCUCUUCGUAUUAUUAUUAUUUAUUAUUAUUCCGCGAAGUACCUGUGGUUUUGGUUUUGCUUUUUUGAUCACCAUUAGAUCAUCUGGAGAAGUUAAACAAGAACAUUUUAUUUCCCCUUUAAAAUUGGAUUAUGUGUAGCUCUGCAUUUUAUUCCUGUUUCAAUUAGGUUUGAAAAUUUAGAAUGAUAAGCAAAUUUUUUAUUUCUAUUUAUUUUUUAACCUCAAGUUUAAACUUGUUAUCUCGAUUUAUAAAUUAUGCUAAUUGUCAGUAUAGUUUUUAAUUAAAUUGAGAAAUUUCGAUUCUGCGUAGAACCUUCACAUUCGGGCUCAAAUCAGGCCCAAGUGUCCAGGUGUGUGAGGACAUGGGCUGUAGCCCAUGUAAGACAACGAGGGCCUGGCCUCGAAUUUUAUGCCCGGUCCGGGCUAUCGAAAUAAUUAAUAGAUAAAUAUUAAAAACGAAUAUGCCUACAAUAUGAUUAUCGCUUUUUUUUUUCUCUAAAUAAUAUCACAUAGCACAUUAUUACUUUAUUAUAAUGAAUAGAGUAAAUUAUAUUAUUCGGAGUCUUAUCGAAAUUGAAAAAUGUCUUGGAUGGAGAUAUCAGAUAUAUUAUUCGUUAUUCCAUCUGAAAACGAAAAGUAUAUCUCCAUAUAUUGAGCUUGUUUAAUAAUGUAUGAUUAAUAAUAUCCAACAGACCCUUAAAUUAUAAAUAAAUAGAGAGGCAAUCUUAAAUACACACAAUGCGUAAACAUAAAUGCAACGCCAAGUGAGACGACCAACCAAAACUCUAUUAGUUCAAUCACAUCACCAAAUCAAAAAAGAGCCCGUUAUAUUAUUAUUAUAUAAUUAAAAGAGAAUUGUAGUCCAUUUCCUCAUUCAAAAAUGUCUAAAAAACUACUACUUUUGUUUUAUUGUUAGUUAAAAAUUAAAAAAAGGUGACAAGGCUCGUUCAGAAAAAUUAGUAAUUGGAUUAGAGGGUUGUAGGAUUAUGAUUUUUUUUUUUUUUUUGUUUUCAUUUUGAGAAAGGAUUUCAAUACAAUUUCAAUUAUAAAUCUAGCAUUGCUGCUUCUUCUGUAUUAUCAUCACACUAUCUAAUCGGUUUAAACUAAAAAAAUGUAUUAGGAUACUCGGAUCAGAAAUAAUAUUUUACACUUAUUGACCAACAACUUUAUUAUUCUUCAUUUUCUAAGGCUAAGUUUUAGUUUGGUAUUAAGAAUCAUCUGGCGUUGUUAGAUAAAAUAAAGUUGAGGUAAAAAUACAUACGGAUGUAUUCUCCAGAGAAACGGUAUAAAAUAUAUCGUAAUCCACUUAUCGCGAUACGUGAAACACAAUAUUAUAUACGAAAAUAAACAAAAUAUUUUUUUCGUACUUUCUUGCCUCGCUUAACGCAAUUUCUCAGCAAUUUCAAAUAAAAUCUAAAACCGAUAACUAAUUAAAAAUUUGCUUAUAUUAAUAUUAAAUUAAAAGCGUACCUGAUUAAUUUGUUAGCUCUUCGUGGAUCGACGUCUAGAUUUUAACUUGUCAACUCCCGUCCGAGAGGGGAGACAGGACAGUUGACCCGACUCGCGUUGUUCUGAGCCGCUCCACGGGUCACGUCACACAAACGCUCCCUUAUAUAAUCACCUAACCCACCCCCUCCCCCCCAGAUGGGGCCGCGCCACCGUUCGAUUCCCGUCACCGCCAAUGGCGACGAAGGAGGGCCGUCCGAUCGCCACAAAGCUUCUUUUUCUAGCAGCGGUUGUUGUCGCCGCCCCGGGCGCGGAGGCGCAGGGGGGCUUCACGUCACCCCCGGCGUACGGGGGCGGCGGCGGCGGCGGCGGCGGGGGGUUUAGCGUGACCACGGCGCUCCUCUUCGUCGCCAUCAUCGUCGGCUUCUUCUUCCUCGGCUUCUUCUCCUUCUACAUCCGCCGGUGCGGCGGCGACCCCCUCGGCCCGGGCGGCGGCGGAGACCCUCCCGACGAUGCCGUACGCGGCGGCGCGGGCGAUGAUGAAGGCGUGGGGAGCGGGGGAGGGGAAGGGGGAGACCCUGGAGUGCGCGGUGUGCCUCAUGGAGUUCGGCGACGAGGGGGAGGCGCUCCGCCUCCUCCCCGGCUGCUGCCACGUCUUCCACCGCGACUGCAUCGACCCCUGGCUCGAGUCCCACGUCACCUGCCCCGUGUGCCGCGCCGAUCUCUCCGACCCCGGCGUCCUCGCCGCCGCCGCCGCCGUCGCCGCCGACGCGGCGGCGGCGCCGGAUCCGGCGGAGGUGGACGUCGAGAUGGGGAAUCAUCGCGCCCCGAUCGCGGCGCGAUCGGAGCACCAGAGAUCGCGCUCCGCGGCGGAGGAUCGGUUCACGCUCCGGCUCCCGGAGAACAUCGCCUCUCCGCCGUCGGAGGGAGGCAGCAGCGCCGCCUCCGUGCCCGCCGCCGCCGCAAGCUGGGCCACCGUCGUCGCGGUGAUCGCCGCCGCAGCCGCUUUCUAGAUCUACCUGAGAUAGUUUUAUUCUUUCAUUUAGGACUACUCUGUAGUAGCGAUUGUUUGGAUUUGUUCUUUUUACACUAGUUUAUUCAUUACCAUUGUUUAUACUAUUAUUUUUUUGUUCCCCCUACCCCUUUUUGUGUAUUAGUGGUUUAUGAUUACUACAGUGAUUCUUUAUUGGUAUUACUAUUGGCGUUAGAUUGUGGUCUCUUCGUAUUAUUAUUAUUUAUUAUUAUUCCGCGAAGUAGCUGUGGUUUUGGUUUUGCUUUUUUGAUCACCAUUAGAUCAUCUGGAGAAGUUAAACAAGAACAUUUUAUUUCCCCUUUAAAAUUGGAUUAUGUGUAGCUCUGCAUUUUAUUCCUUUCCUGUUUCAAUUAGGUUUGAAAAUUUAGAAUGAUAAUUUCAUUCUGAUGCAAAUUUUUUUUUUCUAUUUAUUUUUUAACCUCAAGUUUAAACUUGUUAUCUCGAUUUAUAAAUUAUGCUAAUUGUCAGUAUAGUUUUUAAUUAAAUUGAGAAAUUUCGAUUCUGCGUAGAACCUUCACAUUCGGGCUCAAAUCAGGCCCAAGUCUCCUCCAGGUGUGUGAGGACAUGGGCUGUAGUCCAUGUAAGACGAAACGACGAGGGCCUGGCCUCGAAUUUUAUGCCCGGUCCGGGUUAUUGAAAUAAUAUAAAUAUUAAAAACGAAUAUGCCUACAAUAUGAUUAUCGCUUCUUUUUUUCUCUAAAUAAUAUCACAUAGCACAUUAUUACUUUAUUAUAAUGAAUAGAGUAAAUUAUAUUAUUCGGAGUCUUAUCGAAAUUGAAAAAUGUCUUGGAUGGAGAUAUCAGAUAUAUUAUUCGUUAUUCCAUCUGAAAACGAAAAGUAUAUCUCCAUAUAUAUUUUUUCUAGUUGAGCUUGUUUAAUAAUGUAUGAUUAAUAAUAUCCAACAGACCCUUAAAUUAUAAAUAAAUAGAGAGGCAAUCAUAAAUACACACAACGCGUAAACAUGAAUGCAACGCCAAGUGAGACGACGACCAACCAAAACUCUAUUAGUUCAAUCACAUCACCAAAUCAAAAAAGAGCCCAUUAUAUUAUUAUUAUAUAAUUAAAAGAGAAUUGUAGUCCAUUUCCUCAUUCAAAAAUGUCUAAAAAACUACUACUUUUGUUUUAUUGUUAGUUAAAAAUUAAAAAAAGGUGACAAGGCUCGUUCAGAAAAAUUAGUAAUUGGAUUAGAGGGUUGUAGGAUUAUGACUCUUCUUCUUUUUUUUUGUUUUCAUUUUGAGAAAGGAUUUCAAUACAAUUUCAAUUAUAAAUCUAGCAUUGCUGCUUCUUCUGCAUUAUCAUCACACUAUCUAAUCGGUUUAAACUAAAAGAGUGUAUUAGGAUACUCGGAUCAGAAAUAAUAUUUUACACUUAUUGACCAACAACUUUAUUAUUCUUCAUUUUCUAAGGCUAAGGUUUAGUUUGGUAUUAAGAAUCAUCAGGCGUUGUUAGAUAAAAUAAAGUUGAGGUAAAAAUACAUACGGAUAUAUUUCUGUAUUUUUCAGAGGAACUGUAUAAAAUAUAUUGUAACCCACUCAUCGCAAUACGUGAAACAUAAUAUUAUAUACAAAAAUAAAUAAAAUAUUUUUUUCAUACUUUUUUGCUGCGCUUAACGCAAUUUCUCAGCAAUUUCAAAUAAAGUCUAAAACCGAUAACUAAUUAAAAAUUUGCUUAUAUUAAUAUUAAAUUAAAAGCGUACCUGAUUAAUUUGUUAGCUCUUCGUGGAUCGACGUCUAGAUUUUAACUUGUCAACUGCCCUCCGAGAGGGGAGACAGGACAGUUGACCCGACUCGCGUUGUUCUGAGCCGCUCCACGGGUCACGUCACACAAACGCUCCCUUAUAUAAUCACCUAACCCACCCCCUCCCCCCCCAGAUGGGGCCGCGCCACCGUUCGAUUCCCGUCACCGCCAAUGGCGACGAAGGAGGGCCGUCCGAUCGCCACAAAGCUUCUUUUUCUAGCAGCGGUUGUUGUCGCCGCCCCGGGCGCGGAGGCGCAGGGGGGCUUCACGUCACCCCCGGCGUACGGGGGCGGCGGCGGGGGGUUUAGCGUGACCACGGCGCUCCUCUUCGUCGCCAUCAUCGUCGGCUUCUUCUUCCUCGGCUUCUUCUCCUUCUACAUCCGCCGCUGGGUCGACCAGCGCACCGCCGCGGCGGAGGCCGAGGCGAGCGGCGGGGGCGGCGGAGGCGGAGGGGGAGGGGGAGGGGGCCGCGCGCGGCGGCGCGGGCUCGACCCUGCGGCGGUGGAGACGCUUCCGACGAUGCCGUACGCGGCGGCGCGGGCGAUGAUGAAGGCGUGGGGAGCGGGGGAGGGGAAGGGGGAGACCCUGGAGUGCGCGGUGUGCCUCAUGGAGUUCGGCGACGAGGGGGAGGCGCUCCGCCUCCUCCCCGGCUGCUGCCACGUCUUCCACCGCGAUUGCAUCGACCCCUGGCUCGAGUCCCACGUCACCUGCCCCGUGUGCCGCGCCGAUCUCUCCGACCCCGCCGUCCUCGCAGCCGCCGCCGCCGUCGCCGCCGACGCGGCGGCGGCGCCGGAUCCGGCGGAGGUGGACGUCGAGAUGGGGAAUCAUCGCGCCCCGAUCGCGGCGCGAUCGGAGCACCAGAGAUCGCGCUCCGCGGCGGAGGAUCGGUUCACGCUCCGGCUCCCGGAGCACGUGCGGAGGGAGAUCGCGCACCGGCGAGCGGCGAGCCUCUCCGGCUGCGGCGGCGGAGGAGCGCGGCGGAGCGUGAGCGUCGGCGUCGCCGGAGGGGGAGGAGGAGGAGGAGGAGGGUUUGGUACGACGCUGCUGAGGACGUUAUCGGGUAUUCGUUAUAAGAAGGAGAGCGAGGUGGGUGUGAUUCUCAAUUUCAUCGGAGCUCCGACAGGGGAGACGAGCGGAGGAGGCGGAGGCGGAUGCGUAAGCGAGAUUCGGGAUCCGAGAUCCGCUAGUAGCUCGUUCAAGUGUUACGCGCGGAGCAUCACUUUCGCGGGAUUCGUCCUGCAGGGUGACGUGGCAGCGCGUGAUUGGCGGCCCGAGCUGUUCCAGGUUUCGGGUUCCCUCCGAUCCGCAACUUCGCUUGCGCAGUAAAUCCGCCCGAAGUCGACUUCUGUUGUAAGUAAACUUUUUCUUUUUUAUUAUUAUUAUUAUAAUUAUAACUAUUGUUUUCAAUACACUUAUAUAUGCACCGUUGGAUCAUGAAGUAACGGUAUACAGAUUAUUUGUACAUGUCAUAAUGGAAUUGACCCGUUUGCGAUAACUUUAUUUUUGACUGUAAUAAAUUAAGAGUCGAUUGUUGCUAUAUAAUUUGUCUAUUGAUUAUUGUUUAGCAGCAGUUAUUUAUAGGCCAUUUCGGUUUUAAAACAAGAAAAAAAACUAAAAGGCCAUUUCAAAUUUGUUAAUUCUCGUCUUUUAAACCGCAAACAAUAACAGCAUAAUAACAUACAUGAAAUUCGGCUUUUUCGAACCAUCAAUUUGUAGGAAAAGCACUUCUACAAGAGAGAGAGAAUAGUAGAUAUAUUUCUCUCGAAGCACUUGAGGCUGUACAUGAUAUGUAAUAUCAAACUAUAAAGAUUCUCUCAAAGAGCGCUGCAUCGAGGAACCAUCUUCUUAUUUAGACACCGCCGAACUUUAUUUCUGCUCUGUAUGUACCAUCGCCACUCUUUGCCUUCUCUUCAAUCAGUUUGUUAAUCUUCUGAAAACCCAAAAAAGUAGAAAAGGAUUAGAAAGUUUACUCGAGUAACAAAGAAAACUAGUAUAGACUCCACACCUUUUUGUCAUCAGUGCGAAUCUCAAAACAAAGCUUCUGCUGCAUCUGCCUUUUCUGAUGCUUCCCAUCCAUUAUAACGAGCAAUGUGGCCGCAGCAAUUCCGAAAGAACAAAGCGCGCCGGCUCCCCUUAACACCCAACUCUGCGCUUUCGCAAAUGCGGAAGCGGUCGGUCUCAUCUCCUCCUCGACGCUGUUGUCCUCCGCGAAUGAUAAGCUCUCGGAUGAAUCACAUUCAUCGGAAUCACCAGAGUAGACGGCAUCUUCGUCCUUUUGCUCGAAGACUACGUCGAAUAUAACGUCGCCGCCCGCAAUGGCAAUCGGUGGCUCGAUCUUUUCCUCGACGAUCUCUUCUGUCGUGUCAGUUUGAGUCGAUUCGUGCGGGGUGAAGUAGUUGGGCUCGAACAACCCGGUGGGGUUGAAGUACGACUCGCGGGGGAGGUUGUCGGGGAGCAGCUCCCAAUCCUCCAUUGCUAUCUUAGUGGAUGUGAAGGGAAGGAUGAGGUUGUGACAUAUAUAUAUAAUGAAGUGGAAUGGAAAAGAUGGUUUGUUCCUUGAAGGGACUUUGAUAGUUCUAGGAAGGUUGAAGUUCCAAUUGAGGUGUUUGUUUUGGUUGAUAAGAGAGACACAGAAAUUAUGAGGGGGGAGUGUGCAGUGUAAGUUCAUUUGUCUAAGUAAGACAAAUUGAGGAACAAUUAUAGGCUUUAUGAUUAGCAGGAAAGGUGCCAUUUGAGACUCCAGGAAAUGAAGUUUCUCUCAGUGUAUGUGUCACCAUGUGGUUCCCUGUCGGUGCCUGCUCCUCCAGUGAAAAUCCGGAAGCCACAUUUUGAUACUUUCUAACUUCUGCUUCUACUUUCAGCUACUAUAGCGCACGAUAAGCUGGAAAAUCAAAAACUUAUGUUGUUGGAAGCUAACUAAGAUUUUACACCACAGACAAAAGCUCUAAUUUAAAGCUUUGCUUUGUGAUUUAUUAAAAAAGUUGUUAGUGCUUCUUUUAGCAGCGCUAUCCGACCGCAUGUCGUGAAACAGGGUAGUGCAUUUUGAUUCUUACUAAAAUAGAGCCUAUGAAACUGGCAGUAGUAAAUCUGUACAAUGAGCCAUGCACUCCCUUUAUUUUCCUUAUGCAACAGUCCAAAAUCCCAAUGCUAAAGCAAUGGCUCGCAUCAGAAUUGUACCAAAGCAUUUCCAGGAAAUUGUAGGAAAUUGUAAUACAUGCAUAAUGGAUCCAAACAAAAUCUACCGAACAGUUACAAACACUAUUUUGUAAUUUACACCAGUGGUAAGUGCUAAUAAUUAGUGCUAGAAUGGUUUAUUUACACCAGUUGAAGAAUAUAAGCACUUCAUACCAAGUUUUUCCGUUGUUGGAGGAUAUAAGCGCUUUUAUGAACCGAAUAAUUCGUUUGUAAUCUUUUGCCAAUAAAAUUUCACCAUUUGUUACUGCUAAUUGUUAGUUACACCCACAUUCUUAGUUGCAAUUUACAACAACAAAAGAUUCGUGCAUUCUUCUAUAACCUGUCUCACCUACUCUACCUCAUAGAACAACUACAUAUGUUCAUGUGAACUUUCGCAGCAGUUCACGAGAUAUACUACAUGCAGCUUUUAACUAUGUUCUAACUUUCUCAUGUUUGCAGUAAUUUCUAUAACCUAGAGGCUUUAGCCCAUUAUAUUCAACUCUGCAUCAUAUUUUGGCUUGAUAAUUCUGGUUAAAAUUCCAUUCCAUGAUCAGCAGAUUCCCCAGUUUCUUCAUCACCAAAUGGUAUUCUGGUUAAAAUUCCAGUCCAUGGUCUGAAGAUUCCCCAGUUUCUUCAGCGCCAAAUUGUACCUGACAAUAAACAGAAACAAGAAUUUCAGAUUUAACGAUAAACAAUAAUGCAGGGAAAAUAUUGUUAAUGGGGCUUUAUAGAAGCUCGAAUUUGUCAACUGAACCGACCUACAAUUUCAUGUUAAGAUACCAUAAGGGAUCAUCCGCUUUUGUCUCGCCCCAGUGAAGUGUCAUCGACUUCACAGAUUGAGGGAACAAUGGAUUGCAGAAACAAAAAAUGAAGAAUAAAUGAAAGUAUGUUUUGUAAAAUUGGAAAGGCUAUAAUCUAACAGAAGGUAUGUUCUCGCAAUGAUGGAUAGGCAAGUUAACAGAAAAAGGAAAAUAGCCAUGAUUUAUUAGCCUAAUACCAAGGUAUGGCAUUAAAUUGCUUGUUUAACGUGAUUUGGUUUCAGCAGAAACAAAGUGAAGUAAAGCAUCCACACUUGUCUGAUACUUCUUGCCACCGCGAUCAAAAUAGAAAGGAAAGGGGACCCUUACUGUUGAUGCCCUGUGAGUUGUCCUUCGAAAUGAAAUUUUAAAAAGAAUGUAAUAACAGAGAUUGAUUCGACAUGAACGUAUUACAUACACAUCCAAAUGUUUACCUGCCUAAUUAUUUCUUACUGCACAAUCAACUAAAUGUACCGAAAAAUUCAUAAAAGAGUUCAUGAAACUGCUCACAUUCUUCCAUUUCUUGUGUAAAAUAUAGUCUAACUGAGUUUGAAACAACAACUAUACAAGUGAAAGAACAAGGUUUUGGAACUCACAAAAAAUCAAUUAAGUUGAACCCUCUCAAGCUGCUUCUAGCUGGAGUGUGGGGCAAGACUGAUUAAGCCUUUCCAAUAGCUCAUGAGAUGAGAAGCCUUUUCCUUCCGAAACCUCUUUUCGGAAAUCUGGUAAAUACUCCAAUAAUCUUUUGCCUUCGCCAUCAUUGCUGAGAGAAUUCAAAAUAGUCGAAAUAACCUUUGCAUCAAGAGCCACAUCCUUCGCUGCCAUUUCACGGAGCAAGCUAACUAUCUCUUCAGUUUCGCCCUUCUGACUAUAGGCACGAAUGAGUGAGUCGUAAACAACAACAUCUGGCGAAAACCCACAAGCAAUCAUCUGUUUAAUUAAUCUCCUGGCCUCUACCAAAUACCCGGAUCUUGCAAACGCAUUCACUAGCAUUGAAUAAAUAAUAUUAUCAGGCUUUAUUCCCCUUUGAAGCAUUUCUUCAAGAAGUUCUUUUGCACCAUCAAGGUCCCCACUUUUGCAGGCUCCACUGAUUAGAGCGCUAAAUGAGACAACGUCAGGAUCGCAUUUCUUUUUCAUUUCAUUGAACAAACUCCUUGCCCUCUUCAUCAUAUUCUCUUCGCACAACGCUGAAAUUAUUGGGUUAUAAUCAAAUAAACUUGGGGUGCUUCCUCGACCCCUCAUUUCAUUCAAAAGCCUUUCCGCGGCAUCGACAUGCCUCAUCUUGCAAAACCCAUUUAUCAUUAUACUAUAUGUAAAAGAAUUUGGCUCCAACCCUGAACAAAUCAUCUCGUUCUUUAACUGAAUAGCCUGUUUUGUUUCAUGUUUUCUGAAGAGCCCACCAAUCAGUAAAUUAUAAGUCGUCAAAUUACUAUGGCAACCUCUCUCCGGCAUCAACUUAUGGAGAUCUAAUGCUUGUCUAAUGCGACCGCUCUUGCAUAAACCAUGUAUAAGAGAAUUAUAAGUCAUUACAUCUGGCUCAACUCUACACUUCCCUUCAACCAUUACAUCGAACAAUUUCAGUGCGUCAUCAACCUUCAUCAAAUCACAUAGACCCACAAUUAAGGUGUUAUAAGUAAUAACAUCCGGUGCUAUUCUCUUCUCAAUCAUCUUCUCCAUGAGUUCAAAAGCAUCCUCAAUUAAACCUUCUUUACAUAACUGAUUGAUCAACACAUUAUACGUCACAGUGCUCGGCUCCUCACCCCUCUCCACCAUCAGCCCUAACAACCUCGUUGCCUCUUUUACCUUCCCCUCUUUACAAAGCCCAUCUAUUAAGCCCGUGUAUGUAACCACAUCCGGACGAACUCCCCGCUCCGCCAUGCAAUUCAACAUCUGCGUGACCUCUCCCCACCUUCCAUUUUUGGAAAGGCCAUGAAUCAAGCUGCUGUAAGUGACCACAUUCGGCGAGAUCUCUCUCUGCGACAUUUCGUCGAACACCUCCGCAGCCCUAUCCACAAGACCCACGUCGCAUAAUCCGCUGAUGAGUGCGGUAUAUACAACAACAUCGGCAUCAAGGCCUUCACCUUUGAGCUCAUCCAACAAGGCCACGGCUUCUUCUACUCUCCUACUCUUACAAAGACCGUCGAUUAGGGUCGUGUAGGUCACUAGAUUAGGGCGGAGACCCCCACGGCCUCUCCUUUGGCCCAUUUCCUUCCACAAUUCAAUCGCCUCCUCCAUCCUCUUCUCUUUGCAGAGCCCAUUGAUGAGAGUGUUGCACGUAACAACGUCGCGAGGGAUCCAAUCGGAGCCCAUCGCACGGAACAGCUCCUUGGCGUCGGAGACGCGGCGGGAUACGCAGAGGCCCUUGAGGAGGAGGUUGAGGAGGCGGGUGGUAACGGGGUAUCCGCGCUUGUAGAGCAAGCCGAGGGCGGCGAACGCGGAUUUAGGGUUUCGGGCGUGGGCGAAGGAGACGAUGAGGGAGGUGAGAGCGGGGAGAGUGGGGGCGAUCCCCGAUUGCGCCAUCGCUUUGUAGGAGGAGAGGAAGGAGCGGUGGUCGCCGGAUACGUAGAGGCCGCGGAGGCGCGAGCUCCAUGAAGCUGCGGAGGAGGAGGAGGGAGAAGAGAAGAGAGUGGCUAAGAAGAAGGGUUUUGGUGGCUUCCUCAUCUCCAACAACGGCGAGGCGUUUUUUUGGGGGCGUACCAUCGGAAGGCUUAAAACGAGGAGGGAAACGCUCGUGCAAACUACCGAGCCCGACAAGCUAAUGCACACGCCAACGCACGUGUCAGUGAUCGUUAUCAAUUGGGUGAUUCCACGUGUCCCGGCUCUCGAUUAAUUACACACAAAUAAUAAUUUAGGUGAUAAUCACAUAAAUUUUUAGCAACAUUUUAGUCGAGUAACAAGUAAUAACCUAGUGCUUGAUUCUAACGACAUUUUGCAAUAUGACUUUGGUUGGUGGAAGAAGAGGAGACACAACUACAUCCACUGUAUAACUAAUUAAAAAGGAUAAUCAGGCAAAACAAAUCCAACAUCUUCAGCUGCUCGUAAGCCUCAAACAGCCGCUUAUUGGUAGUAAAAUAUACAAAGAAAAAGUUGUUUCUAUACAAGUUUGUACAAAGGAUUCGGCGGUGUAAACUAUUCUUCUAGGACAUAAAAUAGCCGACAAGCAUAUAGUUGCAUGCACUCAACAACCGGGGCCUCGCAAUCACAAUGUCGUUACUGCAGACUUAGGUAGAAAUAAAAAAAACGCCAUCUAAGGCAAACCGCGUAACCAGAUUGGCAGAUACGAUAAUCAGCCAAGCCAUUUCAGCAGAGAAAAUUUUCACCAUCUUGUAAAAUUUGAGACGGUCAAAGAUGUUAACCUUCAAAAUCCUGCUUCAGAGAGAGAGAGGGGGAGAGAGAAAGGCACGCAGCAUUUGUGAAAAUAGCAACUCUAGAAAAACAACACUUUUAUCCAUCUGUUACGGCUGUGAAUUCGUUAAGUUCCGUGCAUUUAAAAAUAGAUAACGAAUCACUGGUCCUGCAUAAAGUCAAAAUCCGCGGCUAUCAGGCAAGAAAAACUUAAAUAGGCGAGGUAACGCAAGUGUAUUGAAUGACUACCUGAUCAGGCAGCACGAAAGACAUCAGCUCUGGGCACACUCAAAAGGAUGUAGGGUUCCUUCAGCGAACUCAUGCAUCCUGAAUCUCUCCAAGAAGUCCAAAGGUCUGCAUGCAACAAAGCCAAAAAGCCACCUCAUCAUAAACAAAUAUUCAAGAUGGGAAAAUGGACCACAAUAUGAUGAAAUAAUGAACAGAACUAAAUCCAUUUGAUAUGGAUAUACACAGAUUGGAAUUUCUCAAAGUUGGAGUGAUAACAACUCCGUCAAACCAUUUAGACCUAACUGUUGUGGUUCAGUUAUAUCGACCAUAUAUUCAUAUUCCUUUAACCAGUUCUAUUUAUUUCAUGCUCUUCCUCACUAUUUCUCCCUGAUCAUGUUUGUUCCAAUCCUCUCUUUUGAAGCAUCGACCUGAAACCAUUUAUGUAUUCUGAAUGUAGCAUUCUGUCCCUGCUACGCAUGAUUAUACAAUCACAACACAUUUCCACACACUACUCUAGUAUUCAACAUCAAAGUUGUGUUGGAUGAGUUAUUCUUACGCUAUUUACUAUCAAUCUUGUACCUUAACAUGCAGAUCCCGACUAGACCAAGUUACUGGACGUAUGUUCUUAAAAUCUCAAUCUGGCCAGUAAAAGUGACUGUUUAAGCAGUUGCCCUAAAAUUUUUCAUUCCAGCAAAAUGUCGCACAUAUUCGGAAGUCCUUAAGUGAAAACCUUCCUCACAAUAAUGCCCCAUUCUGCAUGAAGUGUAUAAUGUCAAUAGUAUAAUCAGAUAAAUAGGCUUUUCUACUGAAGUCUAGUAAUCUUACAGCACAGCUUCACGAUAGCGGCACAGCUUGCGUUGAUUGUUUUCUAUGGCACUCAGUACAUCAGCAGUUUCUGGUCCUGCAGCUCCUCCAGCAACCAUCGAUGAAACUUGAGCGUGUGGUGUCCACAUCUAGAUAUAAUACCGUCAGAAUUCAAAUUCUGAAGCGUAAAAGGAAAAGACUAACAGAAGUAUUCUUCAUCAAGCAUACCUUAAUUGUAUUAUCAAUUCCGCUAGUUGCAAUAGCACAAUCAAAUGGAUGACAUUGUAUACAGUUCACAACUAUAGAAGAAACUUAUUAGUCAUAAAAGAUAAAAGAAAGAAAACGAGGAAUCAUCGAAGAAUAUAUGAUCCAUUACCAGCCUCAUCUCCUGCAAGCAUUUUUAUCAAUCGCCCUGUUCUUUUCUCCCAAAUGAACCAUCUCCCAUCAUCACUUCCGCUAGCAACAAAUUCUCCUGCAAAAGUUUCUUACAAAGUAAGACCAUGGUAAUAUAAUAUGCUUAUAAUGGCUACUUAUAUCCAAGGAUUUAAGUGCCGUGGUACGGGGUUCUGUUGGAAACUUGCUGGCACGGUACGGCACAGUGCGUGCCGAGCCGUGCCGGUCACAAAAAAUAUAUGUGUGCCAACACGUAAUGGCAUGAAAUAUUUAUUUUCUUUAGCAACAAAUUAUGCUAAUUAUUUAUUAUAUAUUUUUAUCAAAUAUUUUGAACUUUAUUGAGAAAAUUACUUGCUAAUUUUAAAAAUAGAGAGUUUUGAAUUGUGCCAUUGGCACGGGGACUGUAUCGUGCCGACAUCUUGCUGGUACGAUACAACACGGUGGAUACGGCUCGUGCCGAUGGACACUUUAAUCCUUGCUUAUAUCUGUUUCUCACAUAUUAGUAUGACCAUCAAUCAGUUAACAGUGUGAUCUAAGCAGGCCAUGAAUCAAACUAUAGAUUUAAUAAAUCAGUAGCAAAGGUAACACUUAAGAAAUUCGAUGAGGUGUAUCUUACCAGUUCUCGCCUCUAAAUAGUUUUCCCCAUUCAGUCAAAGGAAAAUAAUAAGACGGACAAAUCAAUCAGGUAAGAAAUCAAUUUCUUAAGGUAAUUAAAGUAUUUAAACUAUUUAAUGAAACGAUCAUGAGUAAUACAGGUAGAUAUACGAAUUGAAACCAAUCAUAAAUGAAACUGAAUUUAGAGCAGGGCUAAAAUGCAAUAAUCAAUAUACAUCAUUGUUACGUAUGAAGACGUUUUAUAAAAUGAGCCCUAAAAUGUUGUAAAAAGAUGAGUGGCAUUGGUUGCACUAAUGAGGCAUGUCUCUUCUUUUGUUCGUUGUUCAGAAUUUAGUGCUUAUAGAACUCCCAAAGAGGACUUGCCAUUUAACAAAAUAUGUGCUCAAUUACAUAUAUAAAUAGUCAACAACAGCAAAACAACACUGAAGAUGAACGGGGCAAUCGAAAAUGACUUAAAAGUAAUCAUUGGCUACACCAGACAAUCACUUAUUACAUUGACCACCACUAGAUGCUAAAAAGGACUAGAACAAAUGAAAUUUUGUAUGAAAAAACGGGACAAGAUAAAUGCUCUAUAUUAUUGUUUCAGAAGAAGUUCGUGAAACCAUCAGUUCCAAAGUUACUAACAAGUCUGUUGAAGUAAAAGCAGAGAGAGAGAGAGAUUCUACCUCGCUGGCCAAGAAAGCUAGCUUGUUUUAUAUCUGUCCCCACAUUGCAGUGUCCAACGUACCUUUGUUUCAUAUCUAUUGCAACAUCAGCCUGCAUCAUACAGAAAAAAUAAAACAGAAUAUAAGAUAUGAAAAUGGAAUACAUGCAUUUGAAAAGAACCAAAAAGAAGAAAUAAAUAAAUUAUCAGUAAAUGCAUUCCUUAAAUAUUUGGUGAAUAGGAAUAGAUACUGCACCUAAUUAUGAAGGUAAUAUAAACAAACGACAAAGUGAUAUUAUCAUUUAUUUGUUAGGUUACAAGUUGUAUUGAGUAGGCCACAAUGGAUUAAGUCUCACAAGUACUUUUUGAAAUUAUACAAUCUCUAGUUUAGAAUGCUGUGUACGCACAUAUAUGACAACAACUAUACGUGCAUCAGACAGAGUGUGAACUCUCAUUUUCUCUGAUUCCGUAACGAUCACAGACAUUCAGAAGUAUGAUGCAUUCGAGAAAGAAAGAAAACCUUAUAAGCAGAAUUUUCACAUUCAGAGGUUGAUGGCAUAUCACUUUUCGAACCAUUCACACCGCAGUGCUCUUUAGUUGAGUCAUCCCUGCGAUGAAAUUUCAGAUUUAAGCUUCCUCGAACGAUCCUUGAUUCAUUAUUACCACGAUCCUCAUCACCAGAUAUUGAUGUUUCAAAAUCCAACUCCAUUUCAUCCUCAUAAUCAGAAUCUUCUCUGUCAUCUCUACCCUCUUGGGGGCCACCAACAUCUGGCCUAAAGAGUAUAUCGCUCAAGGAUCUUAACCUCCCAUGAUGUAAUUCACUUCUGGUAGACCCUUCAUUAUCCUUUCUGUUUCUCUCAGCUUCCGCUGUACCAAAAAUGACAUGGAAAAUUCAGAUGAGGUAUAUAUAUGCAAUAUUGAUAAUAACACGAUUUGGUAGAAUGCAAUAACACGCCCAAGCAAUGCCCACCCCCCCGUGCCCCCUGCCCCAAAAAAAGAAAGAAAAACAACAACAUAUACAGAAUAGAAAAUGCCAUAGAAUGUUAGUAGCCUGAAACACAUUAAUAACCAUGUGCACCAUGUGCCUCCUCAACCUAAGUAAAUAGUCGUACAACUUUAUAAGUGGGCGGAGGAUUAUAUAUUGAAUAAUUCCAAAAAAAAAAAAAAAAAAAAAACCUGCAGCAAGACGCUCUUUUAAACUCUCCACUUCUUCCGCAGCCUUAUAGUUGGGAGUUAAAUUAUGUGCUGCCUCUGCAAAAUCAGACGCUUCUUUGUGUCUUCCCAGCUGCACAAGAAUGCAAAAAAAAAACAAUAAAAAACUACCCCACUAAAGGGGACAAAAUAUAAAUAUCCACUACAAUAAGGUUAGAUCUUUGUUGCAAGAUAUAACAAUAAAAAAUAUUCAAAAGAGCUAUUAGCAUUGGCAGCAGGAAAAAAGAUUGGAAAGUUGACAGAAAAUAGCAUCUGGUCAUUGAUUGCAGUUAGAAAAUAUCAACAGGCUUUUACUCUUGUGUGUUAUAAAGAGGAGUUCAAGCAAUAACCCAGAGAAAUAGAGAAGAUAUGGAGAGCUGGAAGAUAACAGCAUUCACCAAAUACUGCAUACUAAUGUGUAUUAGUAAGCGACGAAGGUUUUAUGUAGUUUCAAGAGAGUUCACUCGCGUAAGGAAACGACAAAAUUACUAUUUCUCCGACACAGAAUUGUGAUGGAUAAAUAGUUGAAAAGCCAAAACUUACGCUUAGAUAGAACUAAGAGACAAACAACAAAUCAAACAUCACGAAUGUACAAUUUAAUUGCAAACAUGCUUAGAUCUUCAGAUGUAUAAAUAUAUAUUGUCAACUGGUUCAGCCUAUUCAAUACAAUUGCUUCUCAGAGGAAAACUUCAACAUUUCAUGCCUACCUACAAAGUUCAAAAAUAGUAAAAAGCAAAUAUUAUCCGAUAGUGGCAAAGCAUCUUAAAGUAGCCAACAACUAAGGUAAAUCCUAAGGAACUACUCUACCAGAAUCACUAUAAUAGUAUUGUCAUCAUUGUCCCUGUUAUUUGCUUAUAGCAAACAAAAAACAAGCCAAGCCACCAGACAAAUAUUACUUGGAUGAUAUGCAUGAAAAUGCACCUGCAAGAGUGCUUCAGCCAUGUACAAGUGUGCCCUGAAUGAUGAAGUAUCAAUACUCCGAGCUCUGAGGCAAUCCCGGACAGCCAUGUGAGCAUCAUUUUUCCAUUUCCUCUGCGAUCAAUAUACCAAACUCAUAAUUCCUGAUAAUUUUUUGCUAAAAAUUCAGAAAAAAUCAAGUAUGUUGAGACCUUGAGAAACAGUGCUGCUCGAAUACACAAACACUCAUGCCUUAGAGCAUCGCUGAUGUAAGAACCCCUUCCAUCCAGUACUUCAUUGCAUGCUUCAAUGCCAUAUAAUAAAUCCGAACCCACCUCCAAAGUCCUCGCUGCAAUUUGGACCAAUUUCUUGCACAUUUCAAACUACAAUCAAGCAUAAAAUCAGGCACAAUAUUCGGCAACAAUUGCAGACAGUGGGACUGAUAAUAAAUUUAAUUCUACGUCGAGCUUCCCCACCCUGUGCGAAUUACAUCUUCCAGGAGGUAUCUUCACUGAGGAUGCUGUUGAUAAUUGGGAAUGGAUUUCUGGUUCCUGAGGCAAAGGUGCUAAAUAUAACUGCUUGGAAAUAUCGUCAGCCGUGUAUCUCAAACUGCUCUGAUCAUCUGAAUAUCAGGAGAGAGUACAAAUUCAUAGAUGAAUUUUAGGAAGAGAGGCCAAAAAAAUGUGCAGCAAGCAAAAAAUAUAUCAAGCAGAUGUACAAAUUUUACACUCGAGAUGACGAAGUUAAAGCAAGCAUAGCUAAUUAGAGUACGAAGCAUACCAUUGAUAACAUCCAUGAGAUAUACGUGUUCACCACUAUAGCUCAAGAGAACCUCUUCUCCAUUCGGGCUGAAGGUAACAUGUGUUAGGUGCAAGUUUGAUUUUCUCUGGAAGCAAGAAUAAUAGAUACUUGAGAAAAAAGGUUAUGGAUCACAUCAAUCAACAAAAGAAGGAUAGACUCAUGAGAUGCACUCUAACUUGUGUCAACAUAACAAAUAAAAUAGAAACAUCUCCAUAAGUAUAGGCCACAUAACAAGACGUAUGCAAACAACUCUGAAACAUACCCGCUCAGAAAGAUGUGUUGGACAAAAAUAAUUAACACAAGGAGGGGCCUUCAGUUUCAGCUCAGAAGAGCUCAAUGGCGGAAGCAUUCUUCGAUCAUACAGCCGAGCAAAUGCAUCACUGGGUAAUCACCAAGAAAUGAGUAAUUAUUAUCAGCAGUUCUUAGUGAUAGCUAAUACAGGGCAAAAAUGAAUGAAUCUAAAGAUAUUACCUUCCUCCAACAAGAAGUUGAUGUGGACGAGUAGAACUGAUGUCACAAGACUUCAGUAACAAGCACUGCUUCGGAGGAUCAGCUAAAGACUUCUUCGCACCACUACGAAGAUCGAGCUGCACAUUAUGCAUAAUAUUUAGAUAGAGAGUUAGAUGCAGGCAAAAUGUACAGAUAAUACCUGAACUUCAGAGCAUUUUGAAAUGGUUCAUGAACUUUAAUAGUUUGGAUGUCAAUACCUAACCUUCCAUUAAAUUUGAUUUCACUACCCCGGCCCCUUUCUCCUGGCAAUCAGAUCCCCGAAAGUUUUAACAUUUUCCAUCAAAACAUUGCAGAAUAUUCCGUCAAACAACACAAUAUUCCACCAUGCUACAGAAUAGAAAAGUUACAAACACUGGAGAGGAUGUAAAAUCAAAGCUAAUGAAAGAUUAGGUACUGAUAUCAAACAUUCACAAUAGAAGCAACAAAAUACAUGGAUAUCCUCGACCAUCACAAUAUACACAUAUUACAGGAACAGAAGCACUAGAUACACUAAAUUUGCCUAUAUAAGGACUAGAGGAGAAUAAGAGUUGUUGGCUCAAAAUAUACGAUGCCUUAGCCCUUAGGGCAUUUGAAAAUGAGAGCAUUGCCGACCAAUUGUCCAAGUUAUAGGAAAGAAAGAAAGAAAGAACCAGAUAAUCCAAAAGGAGAUAAAGAAAAGAAACAAAAAGGAGAAAAAAAAAAUUAUGACUGGACACACCAAGUCAUUAAGUCCUAAGAUAGGAGCUACUUACAAGAACAUUACGACAUUCUUGAUUAGAGGAUCCAGCUGGAGGACAGGAAGAACUUUCACGGAAAUCAUGUUGUCUCAAAGUUCCAUCCUCACUUGCACUCCAAACUACAUUAGGGUUUCCGGUUUCAACCUGGACACAAAAGGCAGUACAACUUUGUUACCAUCAGCAGCAUAUAUCCAGUGUCAUGCCCCACCGCCUACCCUUAGUAGGUGGAGGAAGCCCCACAUGGGCGCGUGCACCAGACCCGCCGAACGAACAGAAUUUUUCCUGUCCGCCCAAGGCGUCACAAUCAGUACAAUUCAAAACAUUCCAAACAGGAAUAGAAUUCAUACACAAAUUGUAUAAAGAAGGCAUCGUAACAUAAAUAACUACACUAUUACAACAUUCAUCUCUUUCAUUUUUACAUUUACAUUCUUCCAAAUACAAUCAAAUUUAGUCUGUCACGCCCCACCGCCUACCCUUAGUAGGUGGAGGGAGCCCCACAUCCAGAGUAUUGGUUAACUUCCAGAGUUAACCAAAGAAAGUUCAAUAAAAUUGGACAUACAACUAGAAAAUUAAAUAAGAAGAACUUAGCAAGAUUAUAUUAACCUAGGAAGAAAACAUACUAGACUCCAAUGCCGAACACUUCCAAUAUUCCACAGCCAGCUAAUAGAACAUAAUAGAUAGCUAAUUCAAAGCACUUACAGCUAGCUUUUUGACCCUUCUUCUGUGGCACCGGUAUACAGCUGCUGGUUCUGGAGUAAUAUCUCGGGAUCUUCUCAUACCUAAGCGAGACAAAUUGAACACACGAACCUAGAAAAAGUAAUAAUCAGAGCUCCAGUCAGCAGUCUUAACAAAAAACAAAGAAAAUGUUAUCUGCGAAAUAUUACCUCUGUAUCUCCUGCUCCUGACACAACAAGUUCAUCAUUUGUCUCUGGAACAAAUUUUGUGCAGAAUAUGUUGGUAGAGUGCCCAGUCUCAAUACUAUGCAAAAGCCCUGGAUUGGAGUAACUCCAUAUAUUGAUCUGCAUAAGUGUAUUGGACAAAAAGAGAAUGUACAAAACUAUGCCAUCAAGCUUCCUUUCGACUUCAGAAUUUCAUGCAGCAGCAUUAAUCAUUCUAGCAAAUAAGAUAAAUGAUAAAACAAACAUACAUUCAACCAUAUAGUUUCCAUUAGCACCGCUGCUGUGCCAAUCCUUCAAAGUCUAAUAUUUUGGUGAUACAUUUGAUUGUCAGAUGUAUGUAACAAACUACCAAAUCAGCAGAUUCAUUGUGCAGUUGGUGAAUUCACUGAACAACCCAACUAACAAUUCCCAAUUAGGGGAAAAUGGAGCGUAAGUAACUGCAAGUGCCCAGAUGGCCAAAAAAAGAAAGGAAAUACUUCUAAAUGUGUCCGCUUUGAUGCAAUGAACAAUCUCUGUUAGACAGCGUUGAGAUAACGUGACGUAUCAGGCGAUUAUCAGUAUUCAAAAUAUACCUGAUACAACACGACAGCUAAAGUGAAUUAUCUGUUCAUCAUUGCACACAGCUCUCUAGGUUAUUUAUUUCAAGGAUUUAAGUGCCGUGCCAGAAACUUGCCGGCAAGGUACAGCAUGAUGCGUGUCGGCCGUACUGAUACAUGCCGGUCACAAAAAAUUCAUGUAUGCCGACAGAUAAUAGUAUGAAAUAUUUACUUUCUUUAGCAACAAAAUAUUCUAACUAUUUAUUAUGUAUUUUUAUCAAAUCUUUUGAACUUUGUUUAGAAAAUUACUUACUAAUUUAAAGAAUAGAGGGUUUUAAGAUAUGCUAUCGGCACGGGAGCUGUAUCGUGCCGAUAUCUUGUUGGCAUGAUACGGCACAGUAGAUACUGCUCGUGCCGAUAGGCACUUAAAUCCUUGAUUUCUUUUAGCCGUUACAAGGUUACAAGAGAAUACAAUUAGAAGUUAUAUAUCAUGUGCUCCCAACAAGGAUUGCAGAAAAACCAUCUAGUAGCUAACAAAGAAUGACAUAAAGACACAUAAUAUCUGAUUCAUUCCAAAGAUAAGCUCAAGUUACAUACUCUUGUAUCAUCAGAUCCUGAUAUAAGUAGGGAGCCUUUUGAGUUCCACGCGAUAGCGUUAACACAACCCAGAUGCCCCUGCCACAAAAAUCAACAAAAGUCAACUUAAUAGGCCACCAGUAUCACUACAGCAACAUAUGCAAUAACAUGGUUGCAAUUUCCAAGUUUCAACCGAAGUUUAUGAGCUAUAACAGUCACUAUAUACACAAGCAGAAAUCAGGAAGAACUAUGCUUUACAAGCAACCUUCAGUAAAAAAGAAAAAAAAAAAGUUUUAAGCAAUUAGAAAACUAUCAAUUCUCAAAGCAAAAGCAUAAUAAAUGGAACUAAAAUUCAUGUAGCAAAGGAUUACCUCCAUCUCCUUCUCCAAAGCAAGCCUCUUCAUCAACGAGGAGUGCGAUUGCAAGCUGCGAUCCACAUCCUACGAGAAAUAGUUUGGAACAACCACUUAAUACCCAAACCGGCAUAAAUAAAUGAAUAAAUAAAAUCGCACUAAAUCACAAGCUCUAUGUCUCAAUCCACAAGCAGCAUGGACCAAAUAGGAGACUAAAAAAAGUAAGAGCCAGUACCCAAGAGAAAUCGAUGCGGCGACUCUCCACGAGAUCGGCGACGUUGCCAUCGGGGAAGUUCCAAUUCCACUUCUCCAUGGCGUGGGGUGGGCGGGAAGCGAGGGGCGAGAGAAACCCUAACCCUAGCUGUUGAUUGAGGGUGGAGAGAGAGAAGAGGCGAAGGGGGUUUGGGAGGGCUCUCUCUCUCUCUCUCUCUCUCUCUCUCUCUCUCCCCUCCUCCCCUGUAUGGAGAUGCCACUCCGCUUUUGUUCGCACCGAUCGACCCAGGUUCUCGUGUGCGGAAUUUUUCACACACCUUCGUGUAGGUGCACGAACGAAGCGGGUUUGGCACGUGUGGCGUGGGGGGUCGUGACACUCGUGCGAGAGCAGGGGUAGAAACAGAAAUUCACCCCUGAGGCGGUUGAGACAAAAAGUGGGCCGGGUUCGGGUUAGGCCACAUCGAGAGGCGGCCUAUAAUCCUAAUUAGUUAACAGGCCUUGGGCCGGGUUAGUUUGCGGGCCCAGUCCAAAUAUAAGCACGUUAUUUGGUCCAGGACCCAUAGAAAUUGACGCGCCAUGGGUUGCGUUACAGUAAUUAAAAAUGCAAUCCGGCCCAAAUGUGGGGUGGAUCGAUGCUCGGUAGGCCCAUUGUUAGGGCUUGUUUGGUCUCACCGGCUUUAUCAAUAGAUGCUCUUUUUUUUUUUACUUUUCUUUUUUUCCUUUUUUUUUUUUCUCUCAAAAAUUGAAAUAGAGAACAUANGGGUUCGGGUUAGGCCACAUCGAGAGGCGGCCUAUAAUCCUAAUUAGUUAACAGGCCUUGGGCCGGGUUAGUUUGCGGGCCCAGUCCAAAUAUAAACUGUUUUGCCGCGCGGUUGCAAAAGUCACGCGCCUCUUUAGACGGUGUGGCUUUUGCAUGCAUACGUAUUUGAGAAAACUCUUACUAAGUAGAUACACGCAGCACAAAUUGUCUAUUCGCAGUGUGCUUCGCAAAUAUAGAAAACUUCAUAGAGAUAACUAAACAAAUUACAUCAAUUCAAUGCAAGGUUUGACACUCUUUCGUUGAUGCUGUGACGGACAUUCCUAGACUAUUUCUUAUCAAACUAUCCCCAAUGAAGAUACACAUAAUUUCUUCUUAGACGGACAUAAUUUCUUCUUUUUUAUCAAAUCGGUCAUAAUCACUAUCUACAUUCCAUAAAAUUGUGCACCACAAAUAGGAGCCAGCGAAUAGAUCUGCGAUCCUGUAAAAAGACAUCAUUAUUCCUUGUGGGAAAAAAAUAAUUUGCUAAGAUGGAGGGUUGCGCUUAUUGCAGCACUUAAUCCAACACCUUACUGCACGAGCUGACAACAGCUAUGCACCACCUGUGUCCGUGUUCCUAAAGACACCCCUCUUUUUAAAAAGAAUUCAUGGCAUGUCAAACCCCUGAUAAGAAUACCUAGAUUUAAUCGGAUCCAAUUUGAGGGAUUUUGUAGGUUCAUUAAUCAAGACUAGACGGAAGAAUUUCGUAAGUCUACAAAAAUUGAAGAUACGGAUCAAGAAAUAUACAUGCAAAAAAUGGAUUUUAAUUUUAUUUUUGAACACUUUGUUUUUCUCAUUCGAUCCUCUUUUAGGCUAUAGUCACCUAACCUAACCUAACGAGUCAAAUGUUUUAAUCUCCAAUAACCAAAGAGCUAGGAAAAUGUCCCCCAUAAGUGGUGACACAUCCAACCACACGUAGGUCGUUGCAUCGCAUUAAGCUUAUCACGAGUCAUAAAAUCACACAUAGUGUCCCACAUUUCCCUUUCACACUGUACGCAGCUUAACUCGGUUGCCCAUUUCCUUGGAUUUAAUGCUCCAACAAUCAUCCAUACAAGUAACAAUUAUUAUUAUUAUAAAUCUAAAUUAUAAUACAUGAAAUUAUAAACAAGAUUCAUUUGAUUGUAAACUAUACUUGUCUCAUUCCCUGUCCUAUGCAUAUUUUGUCUCCUGCUAAUAAUAAGUAAUUAGAAACAAUUAAAGGUUGUUUUCGGAUUCAGGUGAGUUACAGAUUAAUCAUUUGAGUUUCAAUUUUAAAUUUGUAGAUCUUGGUUUUGGUUUUAACAUCGAUUUGGCAUUGGUAAUUUUUGUUUUCUUUUGUAGCCUAUCUUUAGGUUUCUCUCUGUCUCAUUCCAAAGAAAAGGACAAAAUGUAACUGGCUUUGUCCUAUCCACAACUCAGGCCCAGAGGUGGUGGAUAUUUCUCCACCUCUACUCACCUGACUUCGCCUAGUCUCUCUCUCUCUCUCUCUCUCAUGCGCGCAUGUCAGAAAAGAUAUAAUAUAAACCACGUAAGAGAAGAGAUAAUGGAAUAAGAGACAAAAAUAUAUUCCAUAAAACGAUAGAUGUGGAAAUGAAAUUUAGAACAUUUUAGAACUGAAGAGAUUUAAAACUGACUCUGAUCUCAUAUUUAUCUAAAAAGCCAAUUCUACAUGGAAGCACUACUUUUAUACCAAGUAUCAGAGAGCGCGAGCCCAUAAUUGCAAAAGCACAAGCAGAGUAUCAAACUCCAAACUUGAAUAACAGUCACUGGACUAAGUCGGUGGAUGUUCAGUUGCGUAACUCUUGAAACCUUCACUAUUCAAAACUAAUGGGGCACGAGAUUAUAUAUGCAUACAAUGUAUCGUCUAAUUUUUGAAUUAUUAACAAUAUUGUACUUGCUAUGCAUGUUUAGUUACAAAAAUUAAGUAGAAAUCGAAGGAGUGAAGCUUCUUACCUGAUUUUGGCAAUACUGAUAUGUCCAUAAUCUGACCUGAAAAGUCAUUAUAAAGCAUGAUUAAUUGUUUUAUAACAUGAAGUUUAGUUAUGUUUCGAGUUAUUUAGCUUAAUUUUGUAGGAUUAGAGAUAGACAAUACGAGUUUCGAUCCUGAUAGAUAUUUUAGGGCAAAGAGUUUUUUUUUUCGAGAGAUAGGUAGCACGCUACCCGCUUCGUUUAUUUCAUUAGAAAUAAACGAAGCUAGAAAUGUGAAUCAAGUAGGAUUCAAAUUUGGGUCUCGGGUACCAACUACCAAGCCCUUUGUCACUUGAUCUAGGGACAGUCGGUGGCAAAGAGUAUCAAAGAGAGAUUUUUUUUUUCCUUGGACAAUUUCUCGAUAGCUCCUUUUCAUAUUGAUCGUAAUGAAUAAUAAGACUAGAAAUUAAAAUCUUAACACUUAUUUAAGCUAAAUUAAGUUACUGCAUAAUUUCAAAAAAAAGAUCUAUUUCUAAAUGGCCAAAAGUAAAAAAUUAAUACUCAAUGAUGAAGUGUUAGACUGUAAAAUAGAUUAAGAACAGUAGUAAUGUCCUCUUACAUUUCCAAUUUGGAAUGAAAAAUAUCAGAAGAAUGAAGAUUCUUAUUUAUAGAUUAAUCUGUACAUGCAAACACACAGUUGCAGCUUGAUAAGAUGGGAAUAAUUUCCAUUCUUAUUUAUAGAUCCAUAGAUCCAUCUACUUGUAUACUAAUUAUUCUCUGUUUUGUUCUCUACAUUAUUUUGUCCUUUUCUUUCUUUUUCUUUCUUUUUUUUUUUCCCUCUCUUCUUCUCUCCUUUAGUACAUGGUGAUCUCUAUUUACAUCCUAAUAACUAGUUUAUUGUAAAAAUAUGCUUGAUGUACCUCCAUGUGUAGUUGUACCACAUUAAUUUUCAAAGCAAAAAAGGUAAAUUAGGCAAAACAAGCACUCUCCAAUUUCACGGAGCUGCAAAUUACACCGAGACCGUGAAAUUUGAAUCAUAGAAUUUUUUUAAAAAACAACUUACUCUGGAGACUUGUAGCAGAAAUAUUCAAAUUUAUGGCCAACUCCGACGCUUUGACUUUUCACUUCAUAUUUACUCUGCAUGUGAAUCUACAUAAUUUAGCACUCUUGCUUGAUGCUGACUCUCAUUUUGCUUAGUGUAAUUUUGAAUUAUGACAUUAUAUAAUAAUUCUGAUUUGGGAUGUACUAGGAAAAGACAGAGUAAUUAAAAUAACACAUCAAUCUCAAGAGGUGCCAAAACAAAUGUUUAAUGAAAAAAAGUGCUAAAAUGUAUUGUAGGGCCUAAGCCAAAUAAGUGGACCUCUACAGUGGUCCAUGCAAUGAAACAGUGUCUCAGCUAAGAUUCUCGGUCACCCUGUAACCUAUUCAGAUGUAGCCUGGCUCUCUUCAGAUGCAAAUUGUCAUAUAAUAGCUUUGCUCUCCAAAAAAAAUUCCCCCAAAAAUCCCCCUUUCCUUUUUUGAGAAUAGAGAAAUACCACAAUUUUAGCAAAAAAUGAAAGAUCAUCUUUCUAGGUCCCACAGAUCAAUCAGUAAAUUGUAAUUGAAGUUUCAGGCUUUUUAUUUCAGGUGUAAAGGGUUUUUUUUUUUUUUUUUUUUUUUUUUUUUUGGAGUACAAUGUGCUCUUAGUUUUGGUCAAUCAAAAGUGCUCCUUGGGAUGUUUUGCUGUUGUUUUGAGGACCAAAAUAUAAGUUCUGAGUUAUCUACUUACUUGACACCCAUGGGCCACUCUAUCUAGCAUUCAGAAAUAGAUUAGAAUUGUUUUAACAAUUCAAUUUCGCUUGCUCGUAACUUCUUAUUAGGGAUUCGAUAAUUCCAUUUUAGCAGGAUAAUUUGAUAUUCAACAAUCUCAGCCUCGUCUCAUGACUCUUCAAACUUGCAAUAUUCUAAGUCUUUCUUUUUUUUUUCAAUAUUUUUUUUUAUCUUAUUCUCUCUAAUUCAAUUCAGACAAAUUUUUUGCUAUAUUUUCAUCAUAAUCUAGCUAAUAUAACCUGAAAAUUCCAAAUUUAUUUAUUUAUUUUCUCAAAUUAGGCCUGAGGUCUGCUACAAUCUUGGGAAACAGAGAGGUAGGCAUGCUGUAGUUGGCCCACAGGCAGGCACAAGGACAAAUGGAAUGGGAUCACCACCACCCACACAGCAUUCAAUAAAAGAAACAAGCCAUUUACCCUCCACCAUAUUCUUCUAAAAAUCCUCAAGAUUCAUACAAACAAGUAAUUCUAAAACUCGACAGAACUGAAAUUCAAUGGCUAAUGCUGAUCUUAAGAAAGAUUGGGAUGAAGGAUAAAGGGUGCGAAUUUUCUACGUGCGCGUGCACAGAAUUUUUUCUCGCACGUAUCAGAAAAUUCUGCACACAGAAUUAUAAGCAAUCUGAGUCUAAGGAUAAAGAAGUUCUUGGAAAUGCCACCCCCCUCCCACCCAAUUCCUUUUUACUGUUUGACCAAUUGCAGGAAAAUGGCUCUCUGGGUAUUGCAUGCAGAAAAAAAAAAAAACUGCCACCCUCUUCGAAAGGGGGGGAGGGCCUCAUAAAAGAACAGCAGCAGGCCUUCACCACCCUUUUGACUGAAUUCAUUGAAGCCCUUCUUGAUUAACAUAAAAUGGAAUAGAAUAGAAGGCACAAAAGCAAAGACUGUAAUAAUUGUUAGAUGUAAAUUUAUGCACUUACCAUUUUUUGAGGGAAAAAUCUAUGCUCUUUGAAGAUACCCUCACACUAAAAAGGCAAUCUAGGGAAGUCCCUCUUUGAGGUUUCUUGUUACUUGAUGUGGCACUGAUUUCACAAACUAUUUGAUGAUCUUUCCUCAAACCUUAUUUUUUGUUUUGGCGAAAACGCCGAUAAAUGCCGAUGAUGCUUAAGGCUUUUGUUAGGAAACUGAAAUGAGAAAAAACUAAAUUUAAAAUAGAAUUUUUAAAAAAUGUUAUUGAAAAAAGUUAUCUGAACAUUUUUGAAAAACUAAAGUUGAAUAGGACACUUGCAUAAACCACACCAGGGCCAAAAAAAAGCUCUGGCUAACUAACCAAGAGAAAAUAGUAUAGGCCUCUGGAGAUUAGAUCAUUGGAAGUAGUUAAUCCUUACUAUGUAGUAUGUAUGUUUAAAUAAAGACAAAUAAGGGGGAAGCACAAAAAGAGGACCCAAACCAAACCAGGAGGGGUAUAAUUCCAUCAUCAUAUUUUAACUCCCUCAACAUCUUAUGCAGGAAACAUGAAACUUCCAAGGGGUCCCCCCCCAACACUCACCUCCUAUCAUAUACUAACAAAUAAUGUGUUUGUUUUAUGUGAAAGCCCAUACCAGAAUAUGUACUCAACAUUGGCUCUUCUUUUUUUAACAUAAGAGGCACCAAAUCCCAGAGUCUAAGCAGACAAGCAGUCAAACUAUACAAGGACACAUCAGAUAUGUAUAUACCAUUGCUUAAAACUAUCACAAUUCACAAUGGCUUUUGUAAUUAAAAACUGCAACUCUUUUCUUUUAUUCUUUUUUUUUUUUUUUGUCUGUUUCCAAUCCUUUUAUUUAGCCAGCCUUAGAUCCCAAAAAAAAAGAGAGAAAAAGAAACCACCUCAUAAAACUUCAAAAGGGCAGCAAAGAAGAAAAAAAAAGAAUACAAAAUUAAACUAACACAUCUCUCCCCAAAAUUUUCGCCUCACAGUCGCUUUUCUGUAUCAUGCUUCCAACUCAUGCUGGCUACUUCUAUCAUCUUAAAAGCAUGAUAUAAGGAAUCCUCCCAAAGGCAUUAUUUCUUUUUUCAAUUUUUUGGUUCUAUUCAUCAAGUCUCACCCAUCCAAGGUUUUUGGGCAAUUUGGAGACCACACCGAAAAAGAAAACCCUCAUUAAGCACAUAAACCCUUUUUUUUUUUGAAUUAUGAGACUGAUGGGUUGCUUAGUUUUCUCUUCUUUGCAGCUGGAGAGUGCUGAAGAGGAUUUGCAUGUGACCCAACUGUAAUAUCAUCACCACUCUUAGAACUUAGGCAUGUAGCAUCCAACACACCAAUUGGGCUCUGUGGCACUGAUGAAAUUAAUGGAACAGUUCCAUUACCUCUCUUCUUCUUCACCAAUAUCACUUCUUGAAUCAAUUCAUGACAUGCCAACACUCUCUCCUGCAACCAACAUUUUUCUUUUGUUCAAAACGCAUUUUUUUUAUAUUUUUUAUUUUCAUAGUGAGAUAAAUAUCUUAGUAUGUAGGAAAUACACUCCUCACCUUAUCUACAUGGAUGCCACUAAGAGCAUUGCUAAUAUCAAGAAUUUGACUAUCUUCUACUGCUGCCAGUGCCGCUGCAGCAGCAACCUCAGAAGGCUUGAAUUGUAGAAACUCAAUCCCUGCAUUUAUUUUUUGACCCAACUUGCGCAUUAGACUUGCAAUCACCAACACAGUGCAAUAGGUGAUGAAAUUGCAUAUUUAUGUAAUACUCAGACUAACCUUUGAGUGUGCUCAAUAUGAGAUCGACGGAUUGCAAAAUCAACGUAUUUGCCGGGGUUUUCCCAAUGAAUUUAGUAAGAAAGUGAUCUAAGAAAGAGAAAGGAGUCACAGCCUGCAUCCUCCACUUGAGGGUGCUCAAGACUAAAAGCUCCAUCCUUUGUAUGGUUUUUGGUUCAAACACAUAUUUUGCCUCACCAACCUGUUGGAAAUCGAUCAAUUUUAUUAACCGAUUGUUCAAAUAAACAACUUAAGAAUUUUUUUUUAAGAAAAAAAUAUCUAUUUUCGGUCCAUUCUUCACCUGUAAAUCUAGAGGUAGAGGAAUCUCAGUCUCCUCCAUUUUCACAGCAAGAGAUAAGCAGGCCACCGACAGCAACUGUGUCAUCCAAGCCUUAUCUUGCUGGAAAAUUACGAAAGAUUAGAAAAUGGAACCAAUAAUUUUAAUCAAAUUGAACAAACUUCUUUUAACAAAUUCCACAAAUAUAGUGCUGCAUAAGAUAAUCAAGGAAAAGUGUAAUGGUUGUUUUGAAAAUUUUCUUACAGGGAAUUCAUAAUUGGAGAGAAAUCGAUCCAAAUAAUUUACAGAUAAAUAGGCACUCAGUGGUCCAAAAUUGUAAUGACAAUGAACCUGUCCAUCAAGAUAAAAACAAAUAUUAGUCACAUGGUAUAAGAUUGGGGGGAAAUGAAGUAAGAAAAAGAACAAAAGAAAAAGGUGAAUCUUAUUCCUUUCUGAGAAAUAAAGAGGAAAACAAACAAUCCCCAGAUGGAAAGCAUAUAACAUAUUGAACUAUUCAAUCAUACAUUUCCUUUAAAUAGAUCAUAGGAAACAAAAGAAAAUGUGAUAAUAAGAAACUAAUAAGCAUUAUCAUCAAAAUGCACAUUUAUAUGGUGACAUCAGAAACAACUCUACAGCUAGUUGAAUAAAGAAGAUGUAUCCCCAUUGAUCAAUAGGCUCAUAAAUCAUGUACCCAUUUGCCCAUACAUCACCAAGAAUAAAAUGAAGGCAAAAGACCAUUGGUUAAAUCCACAAACAAAAGAGAAAAUGGUUAAAAUAAAAAAAUAAAAAAACCAAGUGCACCUUCAAAAUCCAAUCAAUGGCAUCUCUUCUAACUGAUGCUUCAAAUGCCCCAAUCUCCAACCUCUUGAAAUAACCUUCCAUUGGGAGAAGCUGAGGCUCCCUCUCAACAAGCAAAGCUACACAUUCCUCUGAUUGAGGAGGAAAAGUAACAUAAAAAUCUAAAUAAAAGCCACUCCUUUGGUUUGUAAUCAGGUCAUCUUCCUCAUCAGCAUCAAAGCAGAGGGUAUUGUUGUUCUCCUCUGAGCAUAGGAGGGAGGAUGAAGCAAAGCCAUAUCUAAUCCCCAUUUGAGAUAUAGAUUACAAAAAAAAAAAAAAAAAAAAAUGGAGUUGAAGUGAAAAAAUGGGAGAGCUUUCCUACUUUCCUUUGCCUUAAAUGGGCUAUUACAGUGAGAAAUAAACCUAAAGGAAGGAGCUUUCCAUGUUUUUUGUAGAAUAAGUAGAUAGAAUAGGAAGAAGAGAAUGGGGGGCACUGUUUUGUAGGGAGGAAGAAGAAAGAAACCUGGCCUGGGCAAUAAUUUCUUCAGAAGUAGAGACAGAGAAAAAGACAAAGUUAUUGCAGGGAGGGUGUGUUGUUAAAGGGACUUGGACCAACCAAAAGAACUCAAGUUACUAACAAGCAUUGGACUAAACCAGUGGUUGUUACUCAAAAAUGUCCUCUUGUAUACUGAGACUUCAAUUUCUACUUAUGCUUGUCACGCCUCUCAAAUAAAAAGGUUCCAAUACUCAGUUGCUUCUUAUUUUUAGUGCAGUUAGUAGUUUGAUGAUUAGUAUUCUAAAUCCUAAAUUAGGUACCUAAUUAUUUUACAUAGUCUGUGCGUAACCACAAAAACUAAAUAGAUAAAUUUGUGUGUAGAGCUACUAUACUAUCAAAAGUAUAAAGUAGUUGGUGCUUCCGAUUUUUUAGCCCUUGAAUCAAAAAUUUUACGGCUGGAAUGAUAGCGGUCCCUUUAGGAUUGAGUGGUCUCCAUUGGUUAAUAAUAUUAAUCCAAUUGCUAGAAAUAAUCAAUGGGGUUGAUCUAAAGGCUAAAAAAUCGGAAAUACCAACCACUUUAUGCUUCUGAUAGCAUAAUAGCUCUACUCUAAAGGCUUGUUUGGUUCGAAGUCGGAAUCAAAAUAAGCUGGAAUCGGAAUUGGAAUGACUCAUUACCUAAUUCUGUUUGGUUCAUCACCUGAAUCAGAAUCGAAAUAAAUCAUUUCCAUUGUCGGUGUUUGGUUCAAGUAAAUAUAAAAAAAAUGUAAUCAGAUCAAUAUACUAAUUUUAUCUUUAGAAUAUAUAAAUUUAAAUUCAAAUUAAAAAUUAAAAAUUAAAAAUUUACAUCAAAAUUUUGAAAUAAUGUCAAAAUUUUAAAUCUAUUUUUUUAAAAAAUUAAACUUUAAAGUUGAGUGGAUAAUUCAAAAUAUAAACUAAAUUUCGAUUUAUUCAAAUUCAAACUUAAAAUUAUAAUUUAAAUUUUAAUUUGAAUCCAUAAAUUUAAUUUAAGUUUUAAAUAAAAUUUGAAUAAAACUUUAUAUGAAUUAAAUUUUAAUUUAAAUUCAAAUUCAUAAGUUAAAUUCGAAAUUCUUGAUUAAAUUUUAAUUUUUAAUUCAAGUUGAAAUUAAAAUUUAAAAUUUAAAAUUUAAUUUCUAAAUUUAAAUUCAUAUUUUAAUUAAAAAAGUUAAAAUAAUAAAUUUAAUCCGAAUAAAUAUCCAUUCCGUCCGGAUUCAACUUCCAAUCCGGCCUUCCAGGCCAGAUUGGAAAAAGAGGUGAUUAAAAGAUUCCUAUUUCAUUCGGGAAUCGGAAUUGGAAUCGGAAUGGAACUUCCACGUACCAAACACUCACAAACGGAUUCGCCCAUUCCGAUUCUGAUUCUAUGGUGAAAAAGAAGCGAACCAAACACGUCCUAAAUUUGUAGAGUAUAUACCUAACGAAAGUUUGUCUUUAAUUAAUGUGUAUGUAGUCUUAAUAAUAGUAGACUUUAUUAUAAGUAUGCGGCGCAAAUGCAAUGCAGUUAAGUAAGAAUUGUUUUAACUAAGAAUGAAACAAGAGCAGGUAUGAGAUUCAAAAAAAGAGUUAAUUGGAUUGGAUAUGAUGAAAGUUGGAACCAAACUCUAACAUACUACAGGGAAAGCACUUGGACAAAUUGGCAACUUAAGUUAAUUGGUGGAUAAAUCCCUGCACAUUAACAUAUAGAUUGAGAUUUUUUUUAUUUUAAUCAAUAUAUGAUUAGCAUUCUUAAUGGGAGGACUCGUGCAAUUAACAUGGAAGAGAAAUAUAUGGGUGAGGACUGGAAGAGUAAUUGGUCAAUCUUUAGGGAUCGUAGAAUUGCAUUGAGCUUUUAAGAACGAUUCUCGUAAAAAUAAAUGAUGAAAAAAAAAAAGUUAUGAAUCUAGAGUUUGAA
rnacentral:lncRNA from 1 species